rnacentral:lncRNA from 1 species
AAUUCUCUACAAAAAAGGAAAAUAAAAAAGGCUAUCCACUUAUUUUGAGGGGAAGGACGAAAUCCACAAAACGGUCUCCCUUUCCAUCACCCACAUGACCACACGCUACCUCUUUUCUCUCUGACUCACUCCAUCUCUCUCACCUCACACUCUCUCAACGAAAUUCACCCUCCUUCACCUCUCAUCUUCACCAUAAAAUCCACAAAACUCCACCAACAAACCAAAACGGCAUCUCCUUCAUCCUCACUUCUACCUUCCGUUUCCACCUCCACAAAAAACCACCGAAAAAUAACAACCAUAAACCACCAUCUCCGGUCACACAUCCACCACAUCAACGUCGUCGACCGUGACGACCCCAACAACAACACCUCCACCACGAAACCCUCGCGUCUCUCCACCACCCUAACCGCCGCCGUCGCCAAACCCUUCAACACAUCACACUACAACUUCAAACACACAACCUCACUCCGACCACCAUCUUCCGCUUCGCCGGCGAAGCCCUCAUCAAAACUCACCAUCGAUUUUCCACCAUACUCAACAUCU